AAAGCAGCUCGCAUCCAAGGACUUCAAGGGUACAGUUAUGUAAACUGUAUGCUUUAAAGUGUUGUAUACAAAUAGGUGUGUCUCUGUAGUGCCUGUCCAUCUAUCAAGUGAAAUUAAACCACCAAGUACAAUUUUUGUGACCUGCCUUUUUCUACAAAUGAAUAUGGGAGCGUUAUUCUGAAUUUGUGCCCUACUGCUGUGACCAAACAGUCUCACCAAUUUACAGAAUGCCACUAUCACACCAAGUUUUCUUUGCCUAUGACUUGACAUCUGAUCUACGAUUUUCAAGGCAACAAGCAUCAUCUUCCACAUGGCAGGACGCACCGAUUGGUGGAAGCCGAACCACACCUCCCGGCCUCCGCCCAGAGGAUGAUCAUAGCCCUCCGGAGACGAGAAGAAGGAGCGGCCCACCGGCGUAUAUCUACAGAUGGUAGCGGGCGCGAAAGGCUACGAGGCGGGCGUAGUAGGCCGGUGCUGGGAUGGACACGGAGCGGGUGCAGCGAACAUAGGUGUGGCACAACUGGUAGGUGAGGAUCUGCAACUCGUCAGCCGUGAAACGAUUGUCAUCCCACAAGACGUAAUAAUGCGACGGCCGGCUUGUACCCUGGAGGCGGAGAGAAAGCAAGUCAAAUUAUAUUUUUAGAAUCCCCCAAGUUUUAUGUUCAGCAUCCAAUCAUUCAGUAUUGACCUGCGGCAGCUGUCCCUCGGGAACGCCGUCCCUGUAGAAGAUGAUCCUGGUGGGCUUGAAACGAGUGGACUUGUAGAACUGGAUGAGCAGCUCACGCACCAUGUAGGACAGGUCCUCGAUGAUCUCCUGCCGGGGCCGCUGGACCCGUACGGUGGCGCAGUACCGGCUGGGAUGGGCAUCCAUGCUGCCCACCACCUAAAAGAGCAACAUGGCGACCAAUCACAGCAUGGCUGAGGUCAGCGGCGGAUGAGGGGUUGACGUCACCUCACUUUUCUCAACGUGACUCAGUGUGAUGAGACAUUUGUUUCCUUUUACCAACACCUUCUUCACUCUCAUUUUUUUUUUUCAUUUUUUGGGCGUCAGACAGACUGAAUUUAACAGAAUCUUUUGUCUGAAUUUUUUCAUCCAAGCAAAGGAAUUGGAACAUGUUUAUGAUAGGUGUGUCAUAUUGAUCAUUCCAUCCACCCACCCAUUUUUUGUACUGCUCCACCUUAUUAGGGCCAUGGCCAUGGUGGAGUCUAUCCUAGCUAUCUUUGGAUAAAUGGCAGCGUACACCCUGAAUUGGUCGCGAGCCAAUCGCAGGGCACAUAUAAGCAAACAACCAUGCGCACUAAUUUUCACACCUAUGGGGCAAUUUAGAGUAUACAAUUAACCUACCAGCGAUGUUUUUGGAAUGUGGGACGAAACUUCAGUACCCAGAGAAAACCCAACCAGGCACUGAGAGAACAUGCAAACUCCACAAAGUGAGGCCCAGAUUUGAACUCCUGGUCCUCAGAAUUAUAACAAGUUGUCCACCGUAAAAAAAAAAAACAUAAUAAAGACAAAAUCUAACAUUUGUAACAACUACUUUUGUGAUAGUUGAUAGUUUAGAGGGGUGAAUGUUUUGAGUAGAUGGAGAAAUAAAGUGAUAGUGGCCAUUAUACAUAAAUAGAAGCAUUAUUCAGCUUCUGGUGGUGCGCAUUAUACUUCAGCAAAUACCCAAGAAAUUACAGUAAUACUUUGUACAGGAUCUGGCCCUGCGCCUGAUUGGUGAACAGUUCAGGGUGUAGUCUGCCUUUCACCUGAAGCUAGCUGGGAUAGGCUGCAGCUUUCCGGCAACCCUUGUGAGGAUUAGCGGCUUGGAUAAUGACAUUAUAUGACUUUGUAAAGUGAAGUGUCCAUGUUCAAUGAUAAAUUCUAAGAAAUGAGUCAGAAGUCUCACACAACCUUUUCAAGUAAAACAAGACUUCAAUUUGUCUCAUUUCCAAGUAGAUCAAUGGUGCAAACUCUUAUUAUUAUUAUUUUUUUUAAUAUGUCAGCAGUGUGCAAAAGAACACGUAAUGACUGGAUCAAACUACAAGACUAAUUGGGUCUUUCCUGAUUGCAUUAUGUCAGACUACUGCAAUAAAAUCUUAUAAUGCGAUACCUCCACAUCCUGACUACUAAAGUCCCUGAGCCUUACCUCGCAAACUCAAACAACCUGAUACACUUGUUACCAUGGACAACAACAAUGGAUUCGACAGACUGUAUUGUAAGAACAAAAUGGUGAAAUACAUGUUGUGGUGCUCGGGAGAGGACUUUCAUUCAAGGAUUGCUUGAGGUAUGUUUAAAUGCUUUUAAUACAAUACAGCGUACAAGCAGGCUAAAAAAAUGUUAUGUAGCCUCGCAAGCUAGUGCUAGCACUAACGAUUGUAUAUAAACAUGUCGGCGUUCUCUCGAAUCAUGCUCUUCCGUUGUGUUUGAAGUGAUUUAAAUACAGUAAGUUAGCACCUAUUAUUUCUGUCAUGUUGCAGUGUUGGUUUGACCUGAUUGAUUACAUUACAUGACCUGACUUUAUAGUUUUGAAGAUACUCAGUAUACAGUGCACAAGUAUAUUCAGUAAACGAACAAGUCCUUUAAAUAGACAUAGCUCAAUCUUGUAAUCAGAUCAGUGAUUGUUUUUUAUAACUCUGUGAUCGGCCCCAAAAAUCCUGAUUGUGUAAGAUCUACCCAGAAACCACCACUCAGUCUCACUCGUCAAACACCUUCCCGUUCACUUUAGGUUAUGAGACUUACAGCUGUGAUGGAAGGCUUCUUGCCGUCUCCAGCAGGGGGGUGAGUCACAUCAGCUCCUAGGAAGAUAACAGGCUGCUGGAACACCGCUGACCUGAAAGAGAAAACGCAAGCUACAUCAUUGGUUGAAGAUCCAGAAUAACUUCCAAGUGUGGGCUGGACUACAUGGUCAGAAACAUUACCGUGCAAAAGAACUAUAGUGUUAUGCAGAAACACCUCCAUCAGACACAGACGGGGGUUUUUCCAGGCAGAAUGACGAUGAUGAGCUGGAGGCCCGAGUAGGUGUUCUUCAGAUGUCUGAACAUGGGCUCCACGCUGUCCGCUCCCUGGGCGUACUUGCAGAAGCACGGCUGGCCCUGGAUGGGCAUGCCGGCGUCCUUGGAGAUCUUCCGAAGCUGAAAAGAAAGUAAAAACAGCAGCGGGAAAUGGCCAAAAAGUGCAGAGGAAACUCCACCCUGUGGCCUCCUACCAAACAUCAGCCGUUGCGAGGACCCUGACUUGGAGGAGAACAGCAGUACAUUUUCAAAACUGUGCAUGUGGGUUUUGCUCGGGUAUAAAGGCAAACUGGGCGGUAACUGCCCGCCCGACUAUAAAGAAGCCUUGAGAAGCCCUGCUAACUGUUAAGAUAACGUGAAAAGUAGCAAAACCACCAGAAUAAGUUUUUAGGUGGUACAGUAAACAGAGGUCCUCUGCAACUGUGUGACAGCAGAGAGUAACCAACUAUGAACAACAAAUUCGCAGGUAAAUUAAAAUUGUGUCUCAUUCGAAGAUACUUCACCACAUCACAAACGUCGGAAAACUGUAAAUUAGUCAGUACACAAAUAAAUUAAACAUAUCAGCAAUGCUGUGUUCGUUUGCAGUAUUUUUAGAGAGCAGAUUUUUUUUUUUUUUAGGUCUGCACAGUAAAUCUCAAAAUUACAUAGUUUGUUUUUAUUUAUUCUAAUGAUGUAUUUAUUUUAUCUGUUUAGCUUUGCUAACGGACUAUAUAAUCCAUUAGGAAAUUCUUGCUUUAGCUUUACACGAAAGAUUAUAUCGCAUUUCAUACCAUAACUGUGAAGGGAUUCGGUUUUUGCUAUAA